UUAAUAUUCAGAUAUGAUGAUCUUUUGGGAAUCUAAAAUCAUUAGUUGCUAUCAGAUUUAUUCGAAGUGGUUGAUCGAAGAGCAAAGCUAGUUGUGAGUGAGUUGUCAGAUGAGCAGUCCAUACGGCCACCAGCUUCCAAUGGUAAAGAAACUCAAGCGAAGAGGGAGAAAUCAAAGGAGAAGGGUCAGUUGACACUCUCCAUUGCUGAACCUCCUAAUCCUACAACAAGUGAUCCUCAACAUGAACGAGAGCAGACUAGCAUAGAAUCAUCUGCAUCAAGUGUGACAUCUGAUAAAGAUGAAGAUGCCCCAUCUGAAAAUGUUGCUACCGUGUCCAGUAAUUUUAUAAACCAGAAAAGUACAGAUGUUUUUGGCGAGUUGUGGAAAUUGAAGCCAUUGCCUGAAGAAAGGAAGUGCAAUUAUCAGUGAUCAGAUUUGACACCACUCAUGUAGGAUUUUAAUCAAUUGUGCCUAAAUUUAGGCCUACAAGCACUUCAGCCUUUUGACACCACUCAUGCUAGGAGUAGACCAUAUAAAGGAUUUGUUAUUUAUUUAUUUAUAUUCAAGACCAUUUUCAAUUUAUUGUAAUAAAUUUAUAUUUUUUUAUUGUGUAGUAAUAUAAAUUUUGUUUAAUAUUAGUUUUAAUUGUAUUGCAUCAUUUUUAUGUUUCAAAUAUUAAAAAAAUACAGGUUUCA